UUGAUUGUCAAAUCCUCUUGAAAGAGAGGUGUGCCUUCGGGAACGCGGACACAAGUGGUGCAUGGCUAUCGUCAGCUCGUGCCGUAAGGUGUUGGGUUAAGUCCCGCAACGAGCGCAACCCUCGUGUUUAGUUGCCACCGUUGAGUUUGGAACCACCCCGUAUGAACCUAUGAUCUGCCGAUCCAUUUGCAACUCCUUU
rnacentral:ncRNA from 1 species